rnacentral:lncRNA from 1 species
GGCUAGUUUGCAGUGGCUGCAGCAGGUAUUAUCGAAGAGGAUGUUGUUGCUAAUUUGUUAGCUUCUCCUUUUUCAAGAAUAACUUUCAACAAGAAGUUCAGUUUCAAAUGAUCAUCAUCUGGUGAGUGGAACUGUAUGUUUUUUUGCAGCUCAUAUGCUGUUAUUAGCCAUCUCUUUGAAAAUAACUUAUGUGUGUGAAACAUUGUUGCAUUUAAACUUUAGAUCACCGGUUACUUUUUGUGCUAAAUGUGACUUUUUGUUUUUCAAUGGGAAGUAAAUGUUUCAAUAUUUCGAUCGGGAAAUGCAUAGCCUAAUGAUUGUGUCUUUGUAUUCUUAUGAUUGGAAUCUACUGGCUUUUGUCCGAGUGAAUGGACUGCUGUCUUUCCAUCGGCUCUAUGCAGUGGUGUAGUGGUGCCUGGAGAAGUGGGUCCUGUGUGAAGGAAAGUGUCUGCUGGUCUCCGGAAGAAAUUAGGAGUCCUCACUGUCGGAGACCUAGUCAGGACUGAGUAAAAAUGUAUCUGACGCCAAGACACUCAAUAUGUGAUCUCGAGACCGGACUCGAGACUGAGAACUGUCUUGAGUACUUCAACACUGCAAUUGAGAUCAACUGUGCGGACGAUUUUA